GGCGCUAUAGCCAAGUGGUUACGGCGACAGAUUAGAACGAAGUAAUCUGUUCCUCUUUGAGGGCGCAGGUUCGAAUCCUGCUGGCGUCG
rnacentral:tRNA from 1 species